rnacentral:lncRNA from 1 species
AUGUCCUUUGUCCAUUUUUUUUUUUUUGAGACAGAGUUUUCACUCUUGUUACCCAGGCUGGAUGAGACUCUGUCUCAAACAAACAAACAAACAAACAAACAAAAGUCAGGAGACAACAGAUGCUGGAGAGGAUGUGGAGAAAUAGGAACACUUUUACACUGUUGGUGGGAGAAUAAAUUAGUUCAACCAUUGUGGAAGUCAGAUCCUCAAGGAUCUAGUAAUAGAAGUACCAUUUGACCCAGCAAUUCCAUUACUGGGUAUAUACCCAGUGGAUUAUAAAACAUUCAGUUAUAAAGACACAUGCACACGUAUGUUUAUUGUGGCACUGUUUACAAUAGUAAAGACUUGGAACCAACCCAAAUGCCCAUCAAUGAUAGACUGGAUAAAGAAAAUGUGGCACAUAUACACCAUGGAAUGCUAUGCAGCCAUAAAAAAAAUGAGUUCAUGUCCUUUGCAGGGACAUGAAUGAAGCUAGAAACCAUCAUUCUCAGCAAACUGGCACAAGAACAGAAAACUAAACACUACAUGUUCUGACUCAUAAGUGGGUGUUGAACAAUGAGAACACAUGGACACAGGGAGGGGAACAUCACACACUGAGGCCUGUCAGUGGGUAGGGGGGUAGGGGAGGGAUAGCAGGGGCUGGGGGUAUUGGGGAGGGCUAACAUUAGGAGAAAUACCUAAUGUAGAUGAUGGGGGGAUGGAUGCAGGAAAUCACCAUGGCGCAUAUAUACCUAUAUAACAAACCUGCAUGUUCCACACAUGUACCCCAGAACUUAAAGUAUAAUUUUAAAAAAUUUAAAAACAGAAAGAGGAUAUUAAGAAAACAAUCUUAUUUAUAACAGCAUCAAAAAGAUGAGGAAUACUGAGAAAUACACUUAAGCAAGAAAUCAUUAUUUGAAAAGGAUACUUACACAUAUUUAUAGCAGCACAAUUCACAAUAGCAAAAUCGUGAAACCAACCUAAAUGCCCAUCAAUCAACAAAGAGGAAAUUUCACAUGAUACAUAUUGAGAAUUGUUAACAGAAUUGUGACUUCUUAAGCUGAAGAAGAAGGAAGGUAAAAUGAGCUCAAAUGUGUCAAUAUGUCAAGCUCUGGUGGUAUUGAUGUGUCAGGAUCUGUCAUGUCCAUUGGCUUAUUUAUUUUCUAUCAUCUUACCUCCCUAAAAUACCUGGUCUUUUCUGAACACUGGGGCUAAGCAGGAUCAGGACUGCCUGGACCUUGAUGGGAAUGAACUCUUUCAUAGGAAGGCUGUCUAGGACAAUGGUUAAGUGCAACUGUGUGGGCAUC